rnacentral:ribozyme from 11 species
AAGAAAGAAAGGAAUAUAGGAAGGAAGGAAAAAGGAGACGAAACCUGCAGAGAGGGGGGUCCUCCCUUUGCUCAAGUAUUUGGUAUCUACACUUUUCCUCCUUACUCUUCUCCUUUUUUUUUUCUCUCCAUCUUU